GUUGAUAAAUGGCAGUUAGAAUGAGAAAAGUGCUUGUUCAUUGAACAAAGUGAUUAAAUUAUAGAUCUCAUCCAUUCACUGUAACCAUCCAGAUCCAGGACAGUAAAAGGGCUGCAAAAUAAAUCUAAGUGUUCAGAGAAAAGAUAAAGGAGGGCAGAAGAGAAAUGUACCAAGCUAAUGAAGACAAGGGUAGAAGCAUCAAACAAAUAAGGAACAAUCACACUAGACAUUCACUUAGAUUGAUCAUCCAAUAUUCUGAGAGCAGGACAAGACAACACCACCUAUACUACAACAGAAGUGCUUCA